UGGGUUGUUUGCAUUUGAUUU
rnacentral:piRNA from 1 species